AAACGCAUCGACGCAUGCAUCACCGUUAUGUCUGCUUCCAUGGCUUAUAGUUUGCAUUCGUGUUUCUGACGUUCGUGUAUUGAGCGACGCAAGUUCUUUGCGUGAUAUCCCGUUGCCUUCCCGAGUCGGCCUUCUUGUUUCGUUGUUAAAGAACACCAAACUUUGUGUACAGACUAGCAGUUUUAGUCAUGGCUGGCAUCAGUGAAGAGAGACGCAAAGAGAUGGAAGAAGAGAUGAGCCGGUUCGAGCAGGAGAUAUCCAUGCCUGAACCGGGGCACCCUGUUGGUGCCGAAGGUCCACCACCAGGACCGAGGCUUCCUGCAGGACCUGCUCUGAGGCCACCAAGGCUAGCCCCUCCACCCCCACCACCCCCUCCGUUAGCAGGCCCUCCAAUGCCUCCCACGGGACCUCCGCCUCACAUGCAAUUCAUCCCUCAUCAGCUGCGUCACCUCCGUCCGCCACCACCACCGCCGCGUAUGGCGCCGCCACCACCCUUCAUCGGCGGACCUCUUGUGCCUCCACCUCCCCCACCACCAUCAUUCCUCACGCCAACCAACAUGGCGGCAGUGCGUCCUCUCCCUGGGCCACCUGAACCACCACCAGCUGUCAUUAUUCCUGCACCGCACCUGCCAACGCCAGUUGUGGCAGCGCCGCCACCACCUCCUCCUGCUACCAUGUCCAAUGUCAUCAUCGCCGCGCCAACUGUGUACUCAGCGCCGCCCCUCAGGAAGAAUGCUGCGGCUGUAGUUUCAGUCGUGGCUGGCCCAGCCUUCCCAGCCCAGCCUGUCAGCGUGAUUCCCAUGCCGGUUGUGCCGGUAGCGGACAGCAACAAAGCCGAGACCUUAAAAGAGACCAAGUCCAAGUCUUCCAAGCAGUCCUCCCACAAGUCAUCAGAGAAACAGAAGUCGUCUGAUCGGUCAGUGGAGAAGACAAAGGCUGCUGAGAAGUCGGCCCCUGCUGGUAGUGAGGAAGCGGGCUCUGCAAAGAAACGGAAGAAAGAGAAACGUCUGCUGCGGACAGCAGGACAGCAGACGUGGGAGGACAGUUCGCUCAAUGAGUGGGAUACAGAUGACUUCCGACUGUUCUGCGGGGACCUUGGCAAUGACGUAACAGACGAGGUCUUGAUUAGGGUCUUUGGCAAGUUCCCGUCCUUCCUCAAGGCCAAAGUGGUUCGGGACAAGAGAAGCAACAAGAGCAAAGGCUAUGGCUUCGUUAGCUUCAAGGACCCACAGGACUUCAUCAAGGCCAUGCGGGAGAUAAAUGGCAAGUACGUGGGCAGCCGUCCGAUCAAGCUUCGCAAGAGCACGUGGCGCGAGCGAAACGUCGACAUGGUCCGGAAAAAGACCAAGGAGCGCGAGCGGCUGGGCCUCAUCUAGGCGCUCGUUCGCCGCUCCUGCUUCCGCCGCCGUCCUCUUCUCUCUGUUAUAUAUACUACGCUUGGCCUAUGCCUGUGCGGGACGGAACAGCCGACCGGAUGCCGGCAAGCCAGGUGGCGAGCAGCGGAGGAGUGUCGGAGGCGGACCUUUUCUUCUGUACCAUAAGAACACUGUCCUUGUUUGUUUCUUUGUUUUUAUCAAUAAAU
rnacentral:misc_RNA from 1 species